rnacentral:rRNA from 1 species
GAUGAACGUUGGCGGCGUGCCUAAUACAUGCAAGUCGAACGUGAGCCAUUAGCAAUAAUGGUGAAAGUGGCGCACGGGUGAGUAACACAUGGCUGACCUGUCCUUCAGAGGGGGACAACCACUGGAAACGGUGGCUAAUACCCCGUACGCUCACUGGGGUUAGAGGCCAGUGAGGAAAGGCGCAAGCUGCUGAAGGAGGGGGCUGUGGCCCAUCAGCUAGUUGGUAGGGUAAUGGCCUACCAAGGCAACAACGGGUAGGGGGCCUGAGAGGGUGACCCCCCACAUUGGCACUGACACACGGGCCAAACACCUACGGGUGGCUG